rnacentral:guide_RNA from 1 species
AAACCAAAUAGAAACGACGAUAUAAGAGAUAUGAGAUAU